GGCUGGGGCUGGGAAGGGGGCGGGACCCUGCUCCUGGUCCUCGGGGAGGUAGUGGGACCAGCCUCAGGGUUAUCGCAGGACCCUCCUGGGGGGCCUCCCCUUCCGGGCCACGCCCAGGCCCCCCCUUGGCACCCUUGAAACACCCGGGUUGUGGCCUCCUUCCUUGGGGAAGGAGAUCUGACAAGGCACCAGGAAAGGGCGGGGAAAGGAAAGCUGGG
rnacentral:lncRNA from 1 species